CCCGAGAAAACAGAGGGAACCCACGCACGUGGACGUCCUCUGGAGAGGGCGCUGGGUGUGGAGAGAAGAGUGUGAUCCUGAAGUCGCGCAGACACGGGUUCAAAUCUCGCCUCUGCCCCUUGUUGGCUGACGGGCUUUGGAGAAUACGUUUCCAGUGAUCAAUUGGUGGAAGCUUCCAGAAGGAGAUGUAGCCUCCCUUUCUAGCCCCUUCCUGGGCUGUGCGAAUGCCGUGAAUACUAAUGGAAACAGAUGGCUCCCUUCCACGCCACCGCCAAGAGGAGGGAUGGCUAGGGCAAAAUUCCCCUGCAACAGAGAGGAGCCACCACGCUGACUCUAGCUAUCUUUCCAUAGCCUUUGGCC